rnacentral:lncRNA from 1 species
CAGGCCAGUCAGCACUAUGCGCAGGGCCAUGGUCCGAGGAGUGAGUAGCUGACGUGUCACCGCUCCGCGUGGCCGGCGUGCUCUAAUGGCCCCGGCAA